AUGAUCACAGAUGCGCAGCUUGCCAUCUUUGCCAACAUGCUGGGUGUGUCGCUCUUCUUGCUCAUUCUCUACCACGUGUGGCCGUCAACAACCCCAAGAAGCAGGAGUGAAAGUGGCACGCUCCCCAGGGUUCCAGGACAUAGUCUGAGGCACGAUGGAGGGUGUGAGGGGCCUUCACACUUCACCUCAACCCUUCUGCCUAUCAUAACAUACGAAGCAACUACACCUGACGUUUUCCAAACAGCUUUUAUUUCCUCAAAGUCUUCCCUGACCCUAUGGAACAAGAAGCUGCCACUGAAUAGGGCCCAGGCUAGGGACUGCUUUCUUUUUAUUCCCUCCCCCCCAAGAUAAAAAUAUAGA